rnacentral:tRNA from 1 species
AGCCCCGUGGUGAAGAGCACAUCAGAUUGCAAAUCUGGAGACGCAGACUAAUACUCUGCCGGGGCUU